rnacentral:snRNA from 1 species
AUCGCUUCUCGACCUUUUGGCUAAGAUCAAGUGUAGUAACUUUACCCUUUAAAGGCACAAUUUACAUUUGUAAAAUAUUUACAAAUAAAAUAUGCCUGAAAUUUGCUUCAAAAUACUAU